rnacentral:rRNA from 1 species
UAGGGAAUCUUCGGCAAUGGACGAAAGUCUGGCCGAGCAACGCCGCGUGAGUGAAGAAGGUUUUCGGAUCGUAAAACUCUGUUGUUAGAGAAGAACAAGGACGUUAGUAACUGAACGUCCCCUGACGGUAUCUAACCAGAAAGCCACGGCUAACUACGUGCCAGCAGCCGCGGUAAUACGUAGGUGGCAAGCGUUGUCCGGAUUUAUUGGGCGUAAAGCGAGCGCAGGCGGUUUCUUAAGUAUGAUGUGAAAGCCCCCGGCUCAACCGGGGAGGGUCAUUGGAAACUGGGAGACUUGAGUGCAGAAGAGGAGAGUGGAAUUCCAUGUGUAGCGGUGAAAUGCGUAGAUAUAUGGAGGAACACCAGUGGCGAAGGCGGCUCUCUGGUCUGUAACUGACGCUGAGGCUCGAAAGCGUGGGGAGCAAACAGG